rnacentral:lncRNA from 1 species
UGCAGACCUGCGUGGAAACUAAACACUGGAGCUUGUGGGAUAAAUGAAGAAGCACGAUGAAGACCAUAAAUGAAGACAGCAUGUCGGUUGUACGACGUCACCGCAAUUAAGAAUCAGCAAUGGCCGAUGAGGUAUUUCAAUAAAUAAAAAAAUACGAACCUCACGAAGUCGUGCGAGUCAAAACAAGGAGGUUCGGUGAACGACCAGACGAUCGUAAUUUCUUGCUUCGUUUCGCUGGCGCCGGCGCGAGACAACGACGAACCAAACGUUUUUUUUGCGCAGGCGUUAUAUCCAAACACUGACUCGUAAACUACGACACUCCAUUAUUAUUCCCCCCUGCCUGAGAAAAAAGAAAAAGAAAGAAAAAAUGAAAUACUGCUUUAUCGAAGUCUGACUGCGGUAUGUACCGAAGUAAACGUGAAACUGCGGUGUGUGUGCGCGCCCUUGUAGAUUUCGAUUUCACGCCUCGACGACUCCGAAAUUUGACGGAAAAAGGACGAGUUUAUCCGAAGGGGUCAUCAGCGCCAAAUCACGGCGGCGUAUUUUUUUCUUUCUUUUUUUCAUUCGUUCACUACUGAGCAACUGAAACUCCGCGUGAGGCGGGCAGUUUUAUUAUUCUCCAGCGCCGUACAACGAUGACAACAACGGCGGCGACGGCGUUGGUGUUGUAAAGAAUGACGACUGCGUCAAGUACAAAGCGCGGCUACCGAUCUUCUUCCCAGCACUGAGUGAAGGUCGGAGCUAAGGCGGUGGAGGAAGAGAAGGAAACAGCAGACAAUCCGGGAUUUCUUUCUGCUUCUUUCUCGCCGCUGCGGUGAGCGAAAAGAAAAUUGCUGUUUACGUUUUCGCGAAGGAGAGAGAGUGAGAGAGUGAGCAACGAAGGAGGAGGAGGAGGAGGUCGCGGCCAGCAGCUGUAAGCAAAGAUUCUUGCGUCGGCUUCGCGCGUGGACAGACUCAGUCACCAGCUGACGAAACGCGGCAGGGAGCUCCCGGCCGAGCGCUUGUUGUGGUGCGUAUAGCCAGUGAAUCAGAGGAGAAGCCAGUGCGCGCUGACCUUGCUGGUACACGUUGCAGUGCGGUUGUUAUUGCCGGUCAUUUUGCGGUGCUCCGGAGAGCUUGUUUUGGUGUGUCGUGGAUUAGUUUUUGCGCUUCCUUUAUAAAGGCGCUUCGGUGUAGAGAAGAUUCUUGUGAAACGCCGCAUCGUGUCGCCGGCGAGAACUGUGCUCUGUUAGGACGCGCAAGGACGGCUGGGUCGUCGACUGACUGUCCUUAAGUACACCAUCGCGACGAGAGGUCUUGGUCGUCGAGGGAGACUCGCCUUGACAAGCCCAGCACCGGACGAAGGGCCCAGUUGCUUGCGCCAGUCCUGGGGGUCGUUCGGGCAACGACGAGUGAGACCACCCAAGAUAGGCGAUUUGCCGCGGCCACCGUGCGUCGAAGACUGCGGUGAUGACGA